rnacentral:misc_RNA from 1 species
AACGGUCUAUACCUGCGGUACCUGCGGAAGGAUCAUUACCGAGUUAUCAACUCCCAAACCCCUGUGAACAUACCCGAACGUUGCCUCGGCGGGACCGCCCCGGCGCCCCUAGCGGCCCGGAACCAGGCGCCCGCCGGAGGACCCAAACUCUUGCUCUAAACAGUGGCAUACUCUCUGAGUCUCACAAACAAAAAAUAAAUCAAAACUUUCAACAAUGGAUCUCUAGAUCGGAAGAGCACA